rnacentral:rRNA from 1 species
CCGAAAGGCAGGAGUGCCUGCAAGGGAGCGCGGAGACAGGUGGUGCAUGGCUGUCGUCAGCUCGUGUCGUGAGAUGUUGGGUUAAGUCCCGCAACGAGCGCAACCCUCACCUCUUGUUGCCAUCAGGUCAUGCUGGGCACUCUAGAGGAACUGCCCCGGUCAACGGGGAGGAAGGCGGGGAUGACGUCAAGUCAUCAUGCCCCUUACGUCCUGGGCUACACACGUGCUACAAUGGCCGGUACAAAGGGAUGCCACACCGCGAGGUAGAGCUAAACCCAAAAAGCCGGUCUAAGUUCGGAUUGGAGUCUGCAACUCGACUCCAUGAAGGAGGAAUCGCUAGUAAUCGCGUAUCAGCACGACGCGGUGAAUACGUUCCCGGGCCUUGUACACGCCGCCCGUCACACCACGAAAGGCAG